GGAACCUGAGGCAGAAGCCUCACGAGCCAGGCGGACACCUGUCCUCUGGCCCCGAAGGUGGCCGGCUGUCUGGGAAGCCCUGUUCUUAUACUUCACCAUAGUUAUGGGCCUUUGGCUUGAUACAGAUGCAACACCAAGCAACUCAUUCUAUCAAAUAAUAACGCCUUGGACAUACUUCCAGGCAAAGUAAACUGAGUCAAGCUUAAGCAAAGUUGGAAAGAAAAUGGUAGCAGGCAAGGAGCAGAACAAACUAGGAUGCUGAGAAAAUGCAACCAGACAGCUAACCUUCUAGUGGGCAGUCAGUCACUAUUCACCAAGAGCAGAGAAGAGACACAAAGCCUUACCCAGCCUUUUUGAUUCUCAGGCACAUGUACUUGACAAAGCAGCCUCCUCCUUACUUCCAGAAUCUGCAGCUUCUUGAUUGAGUAUGGUACUUGCAUCAUGGCUCCUAUGACUCUGAGGCCAGUCUCAUCACCUCAUUUCCACCAUUGUUUCUCACCUUAACUUGGAGGUUUAAAAACAUGAUGGCUUAGUGCUUGGCAUAGUUAACCUUCCCAACUGGCACUACACCUUUCCUCAGUUUGCCUGAAGCCACCUCAAAUUACCUGGAAGCAAUGAUCAAAAUAAAGAUAUGAUGGGAAAUACAGACCAUCAUGGAAACAAAAGAGAGGAAUGCACAUUGUUCCCAAGAAUUACUUGAAGUGAGGUAACAAACUGAUUUGGAGAAGAAGACAUAACUGACAGCAUUUCUACAAACAUUUUUUUUUAACUGGGAUACGGUGCUCAUAAGACAGCGGACAACAGAACCUACCUAAACUCCCUGCCCUCUAGAGAAGAAAGUCAUAGCUAUGUCAUGUUCACAUAAAGAAGAGUGGGAUGGCUGGAUCACAUGCCAGUGCUGUUUUCGGAUGAGGAAGAUCACGUCAUCGCAUUUUGCAUACUGCUUUACUGAGUUCCAUCGACCAACAAUAUAUAAGACUUCCUCUUCUCCUAGCUCCUUUGCAGCCUUUGCUUGUCCUCUUUUUGGAUAGUAAUCAUUCUAAAUGAGAUAAGGGGGGUGGAAUUCAUUGUAGUUUUGAUUAACAUUUGUCUGAUGGGUAAGGAUAAUGGGCACAUGCCUGGUGCCCACUGGUACCAUACCUUACAUCUUUAAGUUGUUUUGCACAGGGUGAUAUGCAGGGGUUAAGUUU